ensembl:lncRNA
CUUUUCUCGAGCCCCCGCUGAAGCAGAGAGUGAGCCCGCCUCGCAGAGCGCUAGAUCGGGCUGUGCCGGUGACAGUACCAAACACCUUCAACCUGAGCAGCAGCCGUGGAUCAGCAGCAGAUCAGAACCGCUGUGGACUGCGCGGCUUUGGGAGAAGAAGCGGACUGUAACUACGAGGAACGGACAGCAGAGUCGAUUUUUAUUGGCGUGUUGGUGCUCUCUGAAAAAGUUGCAUCUGCUCGGGACGCACAAGAUAUCCACUGCUGAAGGAAAUACCCCCGCACGGGUUGGCUGUAAAUAACAUCUUUAAAGUGAGGCUUGGGCUCAGACUGACAGAGCUGAAUCCUGGAGGUGCUGUCUGCCUCUUUGUCAUGGUGUCUUUGUCUGCUUGGCAUUAUCCUGCAGAGGAUUGUGUCCAUCUGGUAAAUGAGAUUUCUUGGAAAUGAAAGGCACGGAAAGGAUAAAACGAAGAAAGACAGGGCU